AGCAGCCGCGGUAAUUCCAGCUCCAAUAGCGUAUAUUAAAGUUGUUGCAGUUAAAAAGCUCGUAGUUGAACUUCGGGGUCUACCCAUUGGUCAGGCUUAAUUGUCUGUACUGGUGAGAUGGAUUUCUACCUUCUGAGGAACUUUCAUGCCAUUUAUUUGGUGUGAUUGGAAAUCAGGACUGUUACUUUGAAAAAAUUAGAGUGUUUAAAGCAGACUAUCGUCUGAAUACAUUAGCAUGGAAUAAUGAAAUAGGACGGACUGAUUCUAUUUCGUUGGUUUCCAGGAUCACCGUAAUGAUUAAUAGGGAUAGUUGGGGGCAUUAGUAUUCAAUUGUCAGAGGUGAAAUUCUUGG
rnacentral:rRNA from 1 species